AACGCGAAGAACCUUACCCAGGCUUGAACAGCGAGUGACCACUCUCGAAAGAGAGCUUCCGCAAGGACACUCGUAGAGGUGCUGCAUGGCUGUCGUCAGCUCGUGUCGUGAGAUGUUGGGUUAAGUCCCGCAACGAGCGCAACCCUUGUUUGCUGUUGCCAUCAGGUUAAGCUGGGCACUCUGCAGAGACUGCCGGUGAUAAACCGGAGGAAGGUGGGGAUGACGUCAAGUCAGCAUGGCCUUUAUGUCUGGGGCUACACACGUGCUACAAUGGCCGGUACAAACCGUUGCAAAACCGCGAGGUUGAGCUAAUCGGAGAAAGCCGGUCUCAGUUCGGAUAGCAGGCUGCAACUCGCCUGCUUGAAGUUGGAAUCGCUAGUAAUCGCGGAUCAGCACGCCGCGGUGAAUACGUUCCCGGGCCUUGUACACACCGCUACAGU
rnacentral:rRNA from 1 species